UAUAGACAAAAAUGCUUUAUUUCUUCAAGAGGACGUUAUUUACAGCUCUUAUAGUCUCCAAAAAAAUCUAAUUUAUAACUGUGUGUAUACCAACAAUAGUUUAUGAAAUGUUUUCUAAGGAAAUCCUAGGCAAGAGUAUGUAAAUGUUUUAAGAAGAAACACAAAUCAACAAUUUUUUAAUCUUAGAACUUUGUGCUUGAAAUACUAUGCAACUCAAAUAUUCUAUAUAAAACGUGUUUUUAUGUUCUUUCAAAGUCAGGUAUGCAGAUGUGGUGUAGCUGACGACACGUCUUCUGGCGAAACUCUGGAUUCACAGACAGGAGAGGAGGACCUAGAACAACAAUCAGACUUGUGCAAAAUUAGGGAUUUUUCAAAAUAGCAGUUGUAUUAAAUGUACUUCCGUUUCAAAAGUUUUGACUCAAAGAAAGGUUGCUUGUUUCAAAAGGUUUCUCAAAAUAGGUUCUCAAAAUAGGUUCUCAAAAUAGGUUCUCAAAUGUUCUGCAAAGUUCUGAAAAGUUCUGCAAAGUUCUGAAAAGUUCUGCAAAAGUUCUGAAAAGUUCUGCAAAGUUCUGAAAAGUUCUGCAAAGUUCUGAAAAGUUCUGCAAUGAGUCAGAGUGGGAUAGAAGGGGGAUAGAAAGACAGAGUUGCUUUUCAAUCAGACAGAGCGGUAGAGGAGACAGGAAAGUCAGAGCGUCCAAAACUUAGCCAGAGGGAUAGAAGAAAGGGGGACACAAGACAGAGUGCUUUUCAAUCAGACAGAGUGGUAGAGGAGACAGGAAAGACAGAGUGACCAAAAUGAUAGGGGAGAGUGG